CUUUGUGAAAUAUUAAUUGACCACAGAGACUUGGGUUUAUUUCUAGGCUCUCUAUUUUGUUCCAUUGAUCUAUUGUCUGUUUUUAUGCCAGUACCAUGCUGUUUUAAUUACCAUGGUCUUAUAGUAUAAUUUGGUAUCAGGUGCCAUGAUACCUCCAA